CCUACGGGAGGCAGCAGUGAGGAAUAUUGGUCAAUGGACGCAAGUCUGAACCAGCCAUGCCGCGUGCAGGAAGACGGCUCUAUGAGUUGUAAACUGCUUUUGUACGAGGGUAAAUCCCGAUACGUGUAUCGGGUUGAAAGUAUCGUACGAAUAAGGAUCGGCUAACUCCGUGCCAGCAGCCGCGGUAAU
rnacentral:rRNA from 1 species